AUUGAACGCUGGCGGCAGGCUUAACACAUGCAAGUCGAGCGGGGGAAGGUAGCUUGCUACCGGACCUAGCGGCGGACGGGUGAGUAAUGCUUAGGAAUCUGCCUAUUAGUGGGGGACAACAUCUCGAAAGGGAUGCUAAUACCGCAUACGUCCUACGGGAGAAAGCAGGGGAUCUUCGGACCUUGCGCUAAUAGAUGAGCCUAAGUCGGAUUAGCUAGUUGGUGGGGUAAAGGCCUACCAAGGCGACGAUCUGUAGCGGGUCUGAGAGGAUGAUCCGCCACACUGGGACUGAGACACGGCCCAGACUCAUACGGGAGGCAGCAGUGGGGAAUAUUGGACAAUGGGGGGAACCCUGAUCCAGCCAUGCCGCGUGUGUGAAGAAGGCCUUAUGGUUGUAAAGCACUUUAAGCGAGGAGGAGGCUACUUUAGUUAAUACCUAGAGAUAGUGGACGUUACUCGCAGAAUAAGCACCGGCUAACUCUGUG
rnacentral:rRNA from 1 species